rnacentral:rRNA from 1 species
GAUGAACGCUAGCUACAGGCUUAACACAUGCAAGUCGAGGGGCAGCGCAGUGUAGCAAUACAUGGGCGGCGACCGGCGCACGGGUGCGUAACGCGUAUCCAACCUUCCCGUUACUCAGGGAUAGCCUUCCGAAAGGGAGAUUAAAACCUUGGUGGUGACGGAUGGGCAUGCGGUGCAUUAGCUAGUUGGUGAGGUAACGGCUCACCAAGGCGACGAUGCAUAGGGGUUCUGAGAGGAAGGUCCCCCACACUGGUACUGAGACACGGACCAGACUCCUACGGGAGGCAGCAGUGAGGAAUAUUGGUCAAUGGUCGAGAGACUGAACCAGCCAAGUCGCGUGAGGGAAGACUGCCCUAUGGGUUGUAAACCUCUUUAGUCGGGGAGCAAAAAAGCGGACGUGUCCGCCAUUGAGCGUACCCGAAGAAUAAGCAUCGGCUAACUCCGUG